rnacentral:tRNA from 1 species
GCCAGGAUAGCUCAGCGGUAGAGCAACUGUUUUGUAAACAGUAGGUCGUGGGUUCGAGUCCCUCUCCUGGCU